rnacentral:lncRNA from 1 species
CACAGAAUCGAUGACUAGCUAGCUACAAGAUGGUGUCCAGGUUCAAUGCACUCGAUCACUGUCGUCGUUCAAAGUUUAGAGACCCAAAUGAUGACUAGUUUCAAAACAGAGAAGAUGCUUGGAAAGGGCAUGUUGAUUGAGAUGGAGAUGGAGAUACUGAGGGUAUACGCAUCUUUGGAGAAGCAUCAUUCACAGAGGCGGGAUGAUGACGAUGCGGCGGGCGCUUUUCCUCCUCUUCCUCAUACCGUAGGAGGAGAAGAGGUCGUCGUCGUCGUCCUCGCAUGGAGUUCCCUCAUUCGGACUUCUUGGCUCUCUAGUUUGUCGUUGUUCGUUCGAUCAGGUAGGUAGGAGGGUUUUGUUCCGGUGCUGUGAUCUCCCUUGUGAUUUUCGUAUAUUUUCCUUCUCCUCUUGAUGCGUGUUGUUCUUGCAGCUUGAUAAUGUAUGUUUUGCUCCGAUGACCUCUGGAAAUGCAUGCUUGUGCGUGUCUGUGUGUUUCUGGAUGCAAUAUGCUGUGAUCCACAUGACACGAUGAGCUCAGCACGAACUCGUACCCAUUCAACAGCAAAGAGCAAACACGGCCAGCUCAAACCAACAAGGCAUGGCAUAAGCAAAUUCUGGUCAUUCAAGGGGCGAAGUGAAACAGGUUCAGCUAGCUAAACUACUACAGUGUUUCCACAGAAUUUCUUAGGUAUGCAAACACCAUCGUCACGAGGGUUUCACAUAUAGCUCUACAUGUCCAUACCAUAGAUAACCUUAGCCAACUACAUGUCCACGUGUACAGUCCACAACCAUGGAUAAACUUGACCAACAUGUCCAUAGAUAACGAGAUAGAUAGCCUAUAACGG